GAUAAUUUGUGCCGAAAGGAACCGCGAGACGGGUGCUGCAUGGCUGUCGUCCCCUCGUGUUGUGAGAUGUUGGGUUAAGUCCCGUAACGAGCGCAACCCUUAUCUUUAGUUACCAGCAUGUAAUGGUGGGAACUCUAAAGAGACUGCUGGUGAAGAACCGGAGGAAGGCGGGGACGACGUCAAGUCAUCAUGGCCUUUAUGGGUAGGGCUACACACGUGCUACAAUGGGAUGUACAGAGGGAAGCCAACCCGCGAGGGGGAGCCAAUCUCAGAAAACAUGUCGUAGUCC
rnacentral:rRNA from 1 species